ensembl:lncRNA
CUAGAUUAGUUUAAGCAGCGGAACGCUUUGUGAUUCACACCUGUUGGCUGUUUCUGAUGGUCUGUUUCAGCAGUAUAAGGUCAAAA